rnacentral:rRNA from 1 species
UGCCAGCAGCCGCGGUAAUACGGGAGGGGCAAGUCUUAUUCGAAAUUACUGGGCGUAAAGGGUAAGUAGGCAGUUGAUUAGGUUGUAUAUGAAAUACCGAGACAUAAUUUCGGGAGUGUAUACAAAACGAAUCAACUAGGAUUGAGUAAAGGAUAGUAGAAUUUUUAAUGGAGGGUUAAGUUCCGUAGAUAUUAAAAGGAAUAUCAAAAGCGAAGGCAACUAUCUAGGCUUAAAUUGACGCUGAAUUACGAAGGAGUAGGUAGCGAAUCGGAUUAGAUA